rnacentral:rRNA from 1 species
UACGUAGGGGGCAAGCGUUGUCCAGAAUCAUUGGGCGUAAAGGGCGCGUAGGCGGCCUGCUAAGUCGAACGUGAAAUCCCUGGGCUCAACCCAGGAACUGCGUCCGAUACUGGUUGGCUUGAAUCCGGGAGAGGGACGUGGAAUUCCAGGUGUAGCGGUGAAAUGCGUAGAUAUCUGGAGGAACACCGGUGGCGAAGGCGACGUCCUGGACCGGCAUUGACGCUGAGGCGCGAAAGCCAGGGGAGCAAACGGG